AGGUGAUGCUUUUCCAUUAUUACUUUCCCCCUUUAUAGCAGCCUUGCUAGUGGUCUCCUCGACUUUUUAUAUUCUCAAUUUGAAAAGAAGCACUAUCAUUUUGGUAGUUUUCAGGAUUUAAUGUAUCCUGGUGUGGAAUUUAUCUUAUAUUUAUUUUAUUGGUAGGAAUCCGAGUGAAAGAACUGGUGGUUAAAUAGGACUAAAAUUGUUUCUCUUUUUUCUGUGUUUCUAUAGAUAUGUUCCAUUUCUUCUUUUGCCCCCUCUAUUAUAACAUUGAAUUGCAUAUUCUCUAAUAAAUAGUCUAGCAUGAGAUUUAACAGUGCACUUGGAAAUUCUUUGUAUUUCUAGAAACAUGAUUUCAUGAAAAAAAAAAAAGGAAAAAAUGUUAUAAACCAUGACUGCAAUCUACCAAUCUCUCAAUAUUUGCCUACACCAUUCAGAUUAGUAAAAGUCAUUCAGAUUCGUUUGCUUAAUUUUGCUAGCAGGUUGGAGAUUCAGCACACUUAUUGUUUGUCCUGAUAGUUGUGCUCCUUUAAUUUACUAGAUUAUUGCCAAAAUCUCUAUUCUGCAGAUUGAUGUAGAUAUUGGAUCAUCCUCAGU
rnacentral:misc_RNA from 1 species